GAUGAACGCUGGCGGUCGUGCCUAACACAUGCAAGUCGAACGUGAGAGGGUAGCAAUAUCCUUGAAAGUGGCGCACGGGUGAGUAAGACGUAGGUGACCUGCCCUGGAGUGGGGGAUAACAGCUGGAAACGGCUGCUAAUACCGCAUAAUACCGAGACAUUGGGAAGUGACUUGGUAAAAACUCUGGUGCUUCAGGAGGGGCCUGCGGCCGAUUAGCUAGUUGGCGGGGUAAGAGCCCACCAAGGCGACGAUCGGUAGCUGGUCUGAGAGGUACGAUCAGCCACACGGGGAACUGAGACACGGUCCCGACUCCUACGGGGGGGCAGCAGUGAGGAAUAUUGGGCAAUGGGGCGGAAGCCUGGACCCCAGCAACGCCGCGUGGAGGAAGAC
rnacentral:rRNA from 1 species